GGCCUCAUGGUCUAGUGGUAGUAAGUAUAAUGUGUUUUGUGGCUCCCUUCACCAACUAACAACUUCUCAGUGAUUCCUGCUUUGGGUUCACUCUCAAAUUUGCAGGAGGCCCCGCGUUCGAAUCGCGGUGGGGCCC